rnacentral:piRNA from 1 species
UUUCCGAUUCCUAUAUCCGCAAUAAGACUUUC